rnacentral:rRNA from 1 species
AGAGAAGCUUGCUUCUCUUGAGAGCGGCGGACGGGUGAGUAAUGCCUAGGAAUCUGCCUGGUAGUGGGGGAUAACGUCCGGAAACGGACGCUAAUACCGCAUACGUCCUACGGGAGAAAGCAGGGGACCUUCGGGCCUUGCGCUAUCAGAUGAGCCUAGGUCGGAUUAGCUAGUUGGUGGGGUAAUGGCUCACCAAGGCGACGAUCCGUAACUGGUCUGAGAGGAUGAUCAGUCACACUGGAACUGAGACACGGUCCAGACUCCUACGGGAGGCAGCAGUGGGGAAUAUUGGACAAUGGGCGAAAGCCUGAUCCAGCCAUGCCGCGUGUGUGAAGAAGGUCUUCGGAUUGUAAAGCACUUUAAGUUGGGAGGAAGGGCAGUAAAUUAAUACUUUGCUGUUUUGACGUUACCGACAGAAUAAGCACCGGCUAACUCUGUGCCAGCAGCCGCGGUAAUACAGAGGGUGCAAGCGUUAAUCGGAAUUACUGGGCGUAAAGCGCGCGUAGGUGGUUCGUUAAGUUGGAUGUGAAAUCCCCGGGCUCAACCUGGGAACUGCAUUCAAAACUGACGAGCUAGAGUAUGGUAGAGGGUGGUGGAAUUUCCUGUGUAGCGGUGAAAUGCGUAGAUAUAGGAAGGAACA